rnacentral:rRNA from 1 species
GACAGAGGGUGCAAACGUUGUUCGGAAUUACUGGGCGUAAAGCGUGUGUAGGCGGUCUGCUAAGUCGGGUGUGAAAGCCCUGGGCUCAACCCAGGAAGUGCACUCGAAACUGGCAGGCUAGAGUACUGGAGAGGUUGGUGGAAUUCCCGGUGUAGCGGUGAAAUGCGCAGAUAUCGGGAAGAACACCCGUGGCGAAGGCGGCUCUCUGGGACGGUACUGACGCUGAGACGCGAAAGCGUGGGGAGCGAACAGG